UCCCCGUUUUCCGGGGCAGUCUCUGUAGAGUCCCCGGCAUUACCCGCUGGCAACAUAGGACAAGGGUUGCGCUCGUUGCGGGACUUAACCCAACAUCUCACGACACGAGCUGACGACAGCCAUGCACCACCUAUCGCCGGCCCCGAAGGACACCGUAUCUCUACGGCUUUUCCGGCGUAGUUCAACCCAGGUAAGGUUCUUCGCGUCGCCUCGAAUUAAGGCACAUGCUCCGCCGCUUGUGCGGCCCCCCGUCAAUUUCUUUGAGUUUUAACCUUGCGGCCGUACUCCCCAGGCGGAUAACUUAAUGCGUUAGCUGCGCCACCGAAAGCCUAAGGCCCCCGACAGCUAGUUAUCAUCGUUUACGGCGUGGACUAC
rnacentral:misc_RNA from 1 species